rnacentral:rRNA from 1 species
AGCAGUAGCCGCGGUAAUACGAAGGGUGCAAGCGUUACUCGGAAUUACUGGGCGUAAAGCGUGCGUAGGUGGUGGUUUAAGUCCGUUGUGAAAGCCCUGGGCUCAACCUGGGAAUUGCAGUGGAUACUGGGUCACUAGAGUGUGGUAGAGGAUAGUGGAAUUUCCGGUGUAGCAGUGAAAUGCGUAGAGAUCGGAAGGAACAUCUGUGGCGAAGGCGACUAUCUGGGCCAACACUGACACUGAGGCACGAAAGCGUGGGGAGCAAACAGGAUUAGAGACCCCCGUAGUCCCUGUCUCUUAUAA